rnacentral:rRNA from 1 species
CCUACGAGAGGCAGCAGUGAGGAAUAUUGGUCAAUGGACGCAAGUCUGAACCAGCCAUGCCGCGUGCAGGAAGACGGCUCUAUGAGUUGUAAACUGCUUUUGUACGAGGGUAAACGCAGAUACGCGUAUCUGUCUGAAAGUAUCGUACGAAUAAGGAUCGGCUAACUCCGUGCCAGCAGCCGCGGUAAUACGGAGGAUUCAAGCGUUAUCCGGAUUUAUUGGGUUUAAAGGGUGCGUAGGCGGUCGGAUAAGUUAGAGGUGAAAUCCCGAGGCUCAACUUCGGAAUUGCAUCUGAUACUGUUCGGCUAGAGAGUAGUUGCGGUAGGCGGAAUGUAUGGUGUAGCGGUGAAAUGCUUAGAGAUCAUACAGAACACCGAUUGCGAAGGCAGCUUACCAAGCUACUACUGACGUUGAGGCACGAAGGCGUGGGGAGCAAACAGGAUUAGAUACCCCGGUAGUC